rnacentral:rRNA from 1 species
AACCUGCGGAGGGAUCAUUACUGAGUGAGGGCUCACGCCCGACCUCCAACCCUUUGUGAACCAAACUUGUUGCUUCGGGGGCGACCCUGCCGACGACUCCGUCGCCGGGCGCCCCCGGAGGUCUUCUAAACACUGCAUCUUUGCGUCGGAGUUUAAAACAAAUUAAACAAAACUUUCAACAACGGAUCUCUUGGUUCUGGCAUCGAUGAAGAACGCAGCGAAAUGCGAUAAGUAAUGUGAAUUGCAGAAUUCAGUGAAUCAUCGAAUCUUUGAACGCACAUUGCGCCCUUUGGUAUUCCGAAGGGCAUGCCUGUUCGAGCGUCAUUUCACCACUCAAGCCUGGCUUGGUAUUGGGCGUCGCGGUGUUUCCGCGCGCCUUAAAGUCUUCCGGCUGAGCUGUCCGUCUCUAAGCGUUGUGGAUUUUUCAAUUCGCUUCGGAGUGCGGGCGGCCGCGGCCGUUAAAUCUUUAUUCAAAGGUUGACCUCGGAUCAGGUAGGGAUA